AUGUUGCUUGACGGGAGAGACAGUAAGCACUUCCCCUGACAAGGAUGGAAAGAGGCCCUUGGGCAUUACCACCUACUUUGU
rnacentral:ncRNA from 1 species